rnacentral:rRNA from 1 species
AGUGGCGAACGGGUGAGUAACACGUGAGUAACCUGCCCUUAACUCUGGGAUAAGCCUGGGAAACUGGGUCUAAUACUGGAUAUUGACUUUGCCUCGCAUGGGGUUUUGUUGAAAGAUUUAUUGGUUUUGGAUGGACUCGCGGCCUAUCAGCUUGUUGGUGAGGUAAUGGCUUACCAAGGCGACGACGGGUAGCCGGCCUGAGAGGGUGACCGGCCACACUGGGACUGAGACACGGCCCAGACUCCUACGGGAGGCAGCAGUGGGGAAUAUUGCACAAUGGGCGAAAGCCUGAUGCAGCGACGCCGCGUGAGGGAUGACGGCCUUCGGGUUGUAAACCUCUUUCAGUAGGGAACAAGGCCAUCACUUGUGGUGGUUGAGGGUACUUGCAGAAGAAGCGCCGGCUAACUACGUGCCAGCAGCCGCGGUAAUACGUAGGGCGCAAGCGUUAUCCGGAAUUAUUGGGCGUAAAGAGCUCGUAGGCGGUUUGUCGCGUCUGCCGUGAAAGUCCGGGGCUCAACUCCGGAUCUGCGGUGGGUACGGGCAGACUAGAGUGAUGUAGGGGAGACUGGAAUUCCUGGUGUAGCGGUGAAAUGCGCAGAUAUCAGGAGGAACACCGAUGGCGAAGGCAGGUCUCUGGGCAUUAACUGACGCUGAGGAGCGAAAGC